rnacentral:rRNA from 1 species
AUACGUAGGGUGCGAGCGUUGUCCGGAAUUACUGGGCGUAAAGAGCUCGUAGGUGGUUUGUCGCGUCGUCUGUGAAAUUCCGGGGCUUAACUCCGGGCGUGCAGGCGAUACGGGCAUAACUUGAGUACUGUAGGGGAGACUGGAAUUCCUGGUGUAGCGGUGAAAUGCGCAGAUAUCAGGAGGAACACCGGUGGCGAAGGCGGGUCUCUGGGCAGUAACUGACGCUGAGGAGCGAAAGCAUGGGUAGCGAACAGGAUUAGAAACCCUGGUAGUCCAUGCCGUAAACGGUGGGCGCUAGGUGUAGGGGUCUUCCACGACUUCUGUGCCGUAGCUAACGCAUUAAGCGCCCCGCCUGGGGAGUACGGCCGCAAGGCUAAAACUCAAAGGAAUUGACGGGGG